GAUGAACGCUGGCGGCGUGCCUAAUACAUGCAAGUCGAGCGAACGGACGAGAAGCUUGCUUCUCUGAUGUUAGCGGCGGACGGGUGAGUAACACGUGGAUAACCUACCUAUAAGACUGGGAUAACUUCGGGAAACCGGAGCUAAUACCGGAUAAUAUUUUGAACCGCAUGGUUCAAAAGUGAAAGACGGUCUUGCUGUCACUUAUAGAUGGAUCCGCGCUGCAUUAGCUAGUUGGUAAGGUAACGGCUUACCAAGGCAACGAUGCAUAGCCGACCUGAGAGGGUGAUCGGCCACACUGGAACUGAGACACGGUCCAGACUCCUACGGGAGGCAGCAGUAGGGAAUCUUCCGCAAUGGGCGAAAGCCUGACGGAGCAACGCCGCGUGAGUGAUGAAGGUCUUCGGAUCGUAAAACUCUGUUAUUAGGGAAGAACAUAUGUGUAAAUAACUGUGCACAUCUUGACGGUACCUAAUCAGAAAGCCACGGCUAACUACGUGCCAGCAGCCGCGGUAAUACGUAGGUGGCAAGCGUUAUCCGGAAUUAUUGGGCGUAAAGCGCGCGUAGGCGGUUUUUUAAGUCUGAUGUGAAAGCCCACGGCUCAACCGUGGAGGGUCAUUGGAAACUGGAAAACUUGAGUGCAGAAGAGGAAAGUGGAAUUCCAUGUGUAGCGGUGAAAUGCGCAGAGAUAUGGAGGAACACCAGUGGCGAAGGCGACUUUCUGGUCUGUAACUGACGCUGAUGUGCGAAAGCGUGGGGAUCAAACAGGAUUAGAUACCCUGGUAGUCCACGCCGUAAACGAUGAGUGCUAAGUGUUAGGGGGGUUCCGCCCCUUAGUGCUGCAGCUAACGCAUUAAGCACUCCGCCUGGGGAGUACGACCGCAAGGUUGAAACUCAAAGGAAUUGACGGGGACCCGCACAAGCGGUGGAGCAUGUGGUUUAAUUCGAAGCAACGCGAAGAACCUUACCAAAUCUUGACAUCCUUUGACAACUCUAGAGAUAGAGCUUUCCUCUUUGGGGGACAAAGUGACAGGUGGUGCAUGGUUGUCGUCAGCUCGUGUCGUGAGAUGUUGGGUUAAGUCCCGCAACGAGCGCAACCCUUAAGCUUAGUUGCCAUCAUUAAGUUGGGCACUCUAAGUUGACUGCCGGUGACAAACCGGAGGAAGGUGGGGAUGACGUCAAAUCAUCAUGCCCCUUAUGAUUUGGGCUACACACGUGCUACAAUGGACAAUACAAAGGGCAGCGAAACCGCGAGGUCAAGCAAAUCCCAUAAAGUUGUUCUCAGUUCGGAUUGUAGUCUGCAACUCGACUACAUGAAGCUGGAAUCGCUAGUAAUCGUAGAUCAGCAUGCUACGGUGAAUACGUUCCCGGGUCU
rnacentral:rRNA from 1 species